GGAUUAACCAGGUGGACCCAAUGUAAUCUCAGGUUCCUUAAAUGUAGAAAAGGAAGGCAGAAGACUCAGUGGUAGAGUAAUGCAGUGUGAGAAAGAGUCAGCUGGAUAUUGCUGUCUGGGAGAUAGAAGAGAGCCACAAACAAAGGAAUGCAGGUGGUCUCUCGAAACUGCACAGGGCAUGAAAAUGGAUCCUCCCCUGGAGCCUCCAGGGAUAGAAAUCAGUGACACCUUGAGACCCAGUUUGGACUUCUGACCUCCAGAACUGCAACGUGAUACAUUUGCAUUGGUGUGAGCCACUAAUUUUGAGUUCUGGAGCCACAACUCAGAUAGGAUUCAAUUCAUUAUCGAACCCCUGGGCCUCUCAUCCAGGACCCCAGAGACUUUGUCUUCACUCAUGACUGAUCAGGUAACCAUUGAUGAGUCUGACUUCUGAUCCAGUCCUUCAGACAUCCAACCAUGAAAGCAUGGACUGGAGACCAGAAGUUCAACACAGGCCUCAAUGGGCUAAAGUCAAGUUAUUAGUAAGGCUGUAUUUAUUACUGGAGGCUUUGGGAAAAAAGUCUACUUCCAGACUCACUCAAGUUGUCUGACAAAUCCAGUUCCUUGCAGUUGGAGGACUUAAGCCCUUGUUUUCUGAAUGGCUGUCAGCUGGCAGCUGUCCUUAGCUCCCGGAGGCCUCUCUCUGUCCUUGCGUGUGGACCCCUUCAUCUCAAAGCCAGCAGCAGUGCGCUGAAUCCUUUUGUUCUACUGCAUCUCUCUUCUGCUUGCAAAUGGAGACGGUUACUUACUUUUAACAACUCAUGCGAUUAUUCUGAACCCACUUGGAUGAUCCAGGGUAACCUCCCUAUUUUAAGAUCUGUAAGCUUAAUUGCACAACAAAGUCCCGUUGCCAUGUAAUGUAACAUAUUCGCAGAUUCCAGAGAUUGGAGCAUGCACAUCUCUGAGGCGCUAUUAUUCUGCCAACCAUACUCAUGUUUUCUUUACUACUCAUUUGAUUAUUUAAGUGACCAAUGUCAAAACAAUAAAUAGCUCAAACUUUGUGUGUUUUAGAAUAUUUUAAACAAAGCCAAAAUGACCCUUAGAAUCUUGGGAGGAGCUUCUUUGCUCCUCAAGCAUUUUAUUUGCUUUU
rnacentral:lncRNA from 1 species